rnacentral:misc_RNA from 1 species
UUGAUUGAUUCAUCAUCUGACUCGGACGCACGGAUGCAGCGUUUUGACGGUCCACCGGGGGCCCCGACGCCAAAAGGGCCGGGUCGCCCCCGAGGCAACAGUGUCGGAUAACAUGGGGUUGGGAGGUCGGGCACGGAGGCCCUCACUCGGUAAUGAUCCCUCCGCAGGUUCACCUACGGAGA